rnacentral:lncRNA from 1 species
UGGAGCUCCAGUGCCCUGGGAGGGGAGAGGAGAAGCCUGACCUUGAGCACAGCUCCAGCCUCCACUCCCCACCCCUAUCGCAGGCUCUGGGCUGUGGUUUCAUUUUCCCCAGUUCUCUAACUUCUCAGGAAGCCCAGAGUUUCUCCCUAAAGAAAGGUGGCCCUGCACUCUUUCCUCUCCUCCAAAAUUAGGCUUCAGUAGUUGUCCUCUAAGUUGAUAUUUAGACCUUAAAAUCUAGACUUCUUGGAUCAACAAGAAAUACGCAGGAAGUUCCACAUGAUCUCGUGUGAUAGCACGUAACUUAGUGCUACAGGUGACAGUUUUAUUUUUGGAGGAGUCUUAUUUUACAUAGGGAAAUAGAAAACUAAGUGGCUUCCCUUGAGGCAGCCCGAGGGCUCCACUGGACCCAGAACUCUGAGUUCUGAUGCUGCCUAUCAUUUGCUUUUCCUCAUGAGCUCCUGGACCACCUCAUAUCACCAGCACCCUCUACCCAAGGUCCUGGAGCCAACACUGGAGUAAAAGAGCACAAGAGAACUCCUUAGAGGUGGAAGUGGCUGGAAGUUGCAGAGGUUUCAGAAGCUCAUCCAAGAUUCUGGAGCCUCCAUCUCCAGCCCUAAUGCUGUCCGCCUUUUCACCCAGCCACCACCUGUUUCAGGAGAACACACAGAAGUGAUGACCUUUUCUGGACAGGAUACCCUCUGAGGUCAAAUCAUUGGGCUUGUGGCCAUGAGACCACAGACUUUGCCUGGCUUCCAGUGACUGUCCGAGAUGACCUGUGGAGUGCACCGCCUGUACUUGGACAUCACUGUCUUUUCGGAUCCAUACCCGUCAUCCUUGGAAUUUCCCCUGCAUCCAAACCUGUUCCUGAUACAGAUAACCCUAAGGAAUAUCUUGGAUGUCUUCACGGGGCUUAUGACUUAUUCUGAGGUUUACAAAAUAGAGGCCCCCAGCUGAGCAAAGAGAGGGCUGCAGCGCCGAGGGAACAGCUGCCGGACUCACCGGAGAGGCCUCCUGGAGCACGCCGGGACCCCCUCCACCCCCUGGCUUUGGCUGCAUCAAUGGCUAGUUUGCCUGAACUAUAUCUGAGCCACUGAGAGUAUUUAUUAAGCAGAGAAUAAUUUUGAGUUUCACUUUUAUAACUUUUGUUUCAAAAGUUGUUUUGGAUAAUUUAAUGAAAUGACUGUAAACCAGAAUUCCCCUUUUCAUUAUUUCUUUGUGUCAAUAUAAAAAGAGUUGAUGAUUUUAAAAGCCAGUGAGAUGUCCCUGUCUGUGGAUGUCAGCGGGAGGGUGGGGUCUGACGCCUUUCUCUGGUGGCUGUCCAGGAAGAUUGCCCCAGCUUGCACUCCCUUUUGGCGGGUUCCAGAGCCUUCCAUUUGAAAGGAGCAUCUCUCACCACUCUGCCCCACCCAGCACCAGCUCUUCUGGAACCCACUGACUUCCUAAACACUUUCUUCCUCCUUCACCUCAUUGAAUUCAAGACUUUAGAAAACAGCCAAAAACUCUAGAGGUGGGGGUGGGUUCGAUCUGGAAAUCCCUGCUGUAAUCUUUUUAAGGGAAUCCACUGGAAAUUAUUAAUUUAUGUUUUAAAUAAAACCAUUCCUUACUUAACAGAAUAUUAAGCCACUCAUUUUUUUAACAGAACUUUCGAGAUAUAAUUAAAAUGCCAUAAAUUUCACCCCCACACAGUGUACAAUUCCAAGGUUUCCAAUAUAGUCACAGAAGUCUCUGCAACAAUUACCACAAUUUUAGACAUGAAGACCAUUUGUUGGCAGCCCUACCUGCCUCUAUGUGUAUGUAUAUAAUUUUAAUAUUGGAUUGGAUACUAUAGUAAUAUUGUACUGUUACCUAUUUGUGUUUUUAUAUUGCUGUUUUAUUUUAUUCAGAUGAAUAAUAAUUAUCUCCAUAUAGUCAUACAUUUAUAUAGGGUUAAACACACCUUUUUACAAUUCAAUAAAUUAAAUUGGUCAGGUAUGGUGGCUCACGCCUGUAAUCCCAGCACUUUGGGAGGCCAAGGCGGGUGGAUCACCUGAGGUUGGGAGUUUGAGACCAGCGUGAUCAACAUGGAGAAACCCUGUCUGUACUAAAAAUACAAAAAAUUAGCCAGGCAUGGUGGCACAUGCCUGUAAUCCCAGCUACUUGGGAGGCUGAGGCAGGAGAAUCACUCGAACCAAGGAGGCGGACAUUGCGGUGAGCCAGGAUCGCACCAUUGCACUCCAGCCUGGGCAACAAGAGCAAAACUCCAUCUCAAGAAGAAAAAAAAAAAAAAAGUAAAUUGUUUUUAAUUACAUAAGAAACACGUGUUAUUGUUAUAGAAAUUCACAUAGUGCUUCGGUCUAUAGAAUAAAUGUAUCCCCACCACCUCCCAGCCCACCCACUCGUCUGCAUUCACCUACACACAGUUAAACAUGCACAUAUGUUUCCGUGACACGAUCUUGCUUUGCAUAUUGUUCACUGACUGGCUUUUCCAUAUAAGAUUUAAUUUGGUGAUUAUUGCUUAUCAGUACCUAUAGGUCUCUCUCAUUAUUAUUUAUAAUUACAUCAUUAUUCCAUAGGGUAUUUUACCACAAUUUGGUCACUUUUUCACUGAGGAAUUUUUAUGUCAGUUUCAGUUAUUUGUUAUUGUUACCAAUGCUGUACUGGGCAUCCCUGUAUAUCCACCUUUUUGUUGCAUUAGUUAAGUGGUUUUUUCCUUUUAUGAUUGAUUUCUAAAAAUAAAAUACUGCAGCAAAUGUUAAUGUUUAAUAUUUUCAUAAAAUUAAAAAUCUGUGUUCCAAAAAGAAAUCAAUGGUUUAUACUUCUACCAUCAAUGUAUGAGAAUUCCUAUUUCCCCACACCCUUAAUUACAUAGGAAAUUAUCAAUGUUUGCCAAUUUUAUGAUUUUAAAAUAUUUUUACUUUUAAUUUGGAUUUCUCCACUUAUUAGGGAGAUUGUGCAUAUUUGUGUAUGUGUGUUGGCCGUUUGUAUUUCUCCCUGUGAUUUUCAUAAUGAUACGUUUUCCUAGUUUUCUAAUUCAUUUAGUGAUAUUCUUUAUAUGUUCUGCACAUUUAUUAUUUCCAUAUAAUUACUGAGUUUUUUUUAAGGUCUGUGUCAUAACUUUUACUUUGUUUAUAUUGUUUUUGUUUUGAAGAAGGUUUUCUUUUUACAUAGUCAAAUUUUCAAUAUUUUCCUUACCAUUUCUGGAUUUUGUGACAGGCUUUCAAUAGUUGGUCCUUCUAGGGCUUUAUUGAUUUGUUUUGUUUUAAAGAACAUGCUCAAAUCCUACAUUAUAUAGUGAUUUACUUGUUCCCUUUAUAACACGUGGUAGACAUUACUAGUUCCAAUUAAUGUAGAUUAAAUGUAUUCUUUUCAGUUGUGUAGUAAUUCAUAGAUACGUUCUGAUUUCUUUAUUCUCUGUUAGAUGGAUAUUAAGCUUAUUUUUUAAAAUUCCCACCACUAAUGACUUUCCAGUAAUCAUCAAUAUACAUAGAUCCCCCCAAUGUUUUUGUUUUUUUGUUUUUAUGUAGUAUACGAAUCUCAAAAUGGUAUAAUUGAGCUACGAUAAAUUUAAUUAUAAUUUAAAAAAUACUGACAUUAUUUUUCACAGAGUUAAUCAGAUCACACUCUUACCAAUUACAUAAGUAGGCCUCUUCCUAUGUAGGCUCAAUAG